rnacentral:misc_RNA from 1 species
AGAAGCUGCACCAUGUCCAUGUCACCCACGGUCAUCAUCCUGGCAUGUCUUGGGUUCUUCUUGGACCAGAGUGUGUGGGCACACGUGGGUGGUCAGGACAAGCCCUUCUGCUCUGCCUGGCCCAGCGCUGUGGUGCCUCAAGGAGGACACGUGACUCUUCGGUGUCACUAUCGUCGUGGGUUUAACAUCUUCACGCUGUACAAGAAAGAUGGGGUCCCUGUCCCUGAGCUCUACAACAGAAUAUUCUGGAACAGUUUCCUCAUUAGCCCUGUGACCCCAGCACACGCAGGGACCUACAGAUGUCGAGGUUUUCACCCGCACUCCCCCACUGAGUGGUCGGCACCCAGCAACCCCCUGGUGAUCAUGGUCACAGGUCUAUAUGAGAAACCUUCGCUUACAGCCCGGCCGGGCCCCACGGUUCGCGCAGGAGAGAACGUGACCUUGUCCUGCAGCUCCCAGAGCUCCUUUGACAUCUACCAUCUAUCCAGGGAGGGGGAAGCCCAUGAACUUAGGCUCCCUGCAGUGCCCAGCAUCAAUGGAACAUUCCAGGCCGACUUCCCUCUGGGUCCUGCCACCCACGGAGAGACCUACAGAUGCUUCGGCUCUUUCCAUGGAUCUCCCUACGAGUGGUCAGACCCGAGUGACCCACUGCCUGUUUCUGUCACAGGUAUCGCCAGACACCUGCAUGCUGUGAUUAGGUACUCAGUGGCCAUCAUCCUCUUUACCAUCCUUCCCUUCUUUCUCCUUCAUCGCUGGUGCUCCAAAAAAAAAAUGCUGCUGUAAUGAACCAAGAGCCUGCGGGACACAGAACAGUGAACAGGGAGGACUCUGAUGAACAAGACCCUCAGGAGGUGACAUACGCACAGUUGGAUCACUGCAUUUUCACACAGAGAAAAAUCACUGGCCCUUCUCAGAGGAGCAAGAGACCCUCAACAGAUACCAGCGUGUGUAUAGAACUUCCAAAUGCUGAGCCCAGAGCGUUGUCUCCUGCCCAUGAGCACCACAGUCAGGCCUUGAUGGGAUCUUCUAGGGAGACAACAGCCCUGUCUCAAACCCAGCUUGCCAGCUCUAAUGUACCAGCAGCUGGAAUCUGAAGGCGUGAGUCUCCAUCUUAGAGCAUCACUCUUCCUCACACCACAAAUCUGGUGCCUGUCUCUUGCUUACCAAUGUCUAAGGUCCCCACUGCCUGCUGCAGAGAAAACACACUCCUUUGCUUAGCCCACAAUUCUCUAUUUCACUUGACCCCUGCCCACCUCUCCAACCUAACUGGCUUACUUCCUAGUCUACUUGAGGCUGCAAUCACACUGAGGAACUCACAAUUCCAAACAUACAAGAGGCUCUCUCUUAACACGGCACUUAGACACGUGCUGUUCCACCUUCCCUCGUGCUGUUCCACCUUUCCUCAGACUAUUUUUCAGCCUUCUGGCAUCAGCAAACCUUAUAAAAUUUUUUUGAUUUCAGUGUAGUUCUCUCCUCUUCAAAUAAACAUGUCUGCCUUCA